UUGAUUCAUUUGUUUUCGACUCAGAAGACAUCCGUAGAGACAGGGGUUCGGGUCCUCCGGCGGGCGGCCCCUCGCGGGAGCGCCCGCCGAGGCAACGGCGGUAAGGUUCACAGGGGGUGUUGGAGUUGGAGCUCGGUAAUGAUCCCUCCGCUGGUUCACCUACGGAAA
rnacentral:misc_RNA from 1 species